UUAAUCGAAGCCAAAAAGAGGCUUUUCAUUGUUAAUGAAAGAAGUGGAUAAAAUCCCGAUUAAA
rnacentral:tRNA from 1 species